CCUACGGGGGGCUGCAGUGGGGAAUAUUGCACAAUGGGCGAAAGCCUGAUGCAGCAACGCCGCGUGAGUGAUGAAGGUCUUCGGAUUGUAAAGCUCUGUCUUUUGGGACGAUAAUGACGGUACCAAAGGAGGAAGCCACGGCUAACUACGUGCCAGCAGCCGCGGUAAUACGUAGGUGGCAAGCGUUGUCCGGAUUUACUGGGCGUAAAGGGUGCGUAGGUGGAUAUUUAAGUCAGAUGUGAAAUCCCUGGGCUCAACCCAGGACCUGCAUUUGAAACUGGAUAUCUUGAGUGCGGGAGAGGUAAGUGGAAUUCCUAGUGUAGCGGUGAAAUGCGUAGAGAUUAGGAAGAACACCAGUGGCGAAGGCGACUUACUGGACCGUAACUGACACUGAGGCACGAAAGCGUGGGUAGCAAACAGGAUUAGAUACCCCGGUAGUC
rnacentral:rRNA from 1 species